rnacentral:rRNA from 1 species
UACGUAGGGUGCAAGCGUUGUCCGGAAUUAUUGGGCGUAAAGAGCUCGUAGGCGGUUUGUUGCGUCGGCUGUGAAAUCCCGAGGCUCAACCUCGGGUCUGCAGUCGAUACGAGCAAACUAGAGUGUUGCAGGGGAGACUGGAAUUCCUGGUGUAGCGGUGAAAUGCGCAGAUAUCAGGAGGAACACCGGUGGCGAAGGCGGUUCUCUGGGCAUUACCUGACGCUGAGGAGCGAAAGCGUGGGGAGCAAACUGG